rnacentral:snoRNA from 1 species
GGAUUGAGAAUAAUUCAAGAAGCAUUAAAAAAUGAAAAACCUCACAGUGUCCCAUGCCAAAGCAAACUGUCCCCCCGAACCAUUGCCUGGCUUUACCUGGUAGGCUUAAGGCACUGAAGUGGGUUGCACAGUA